AUUUCACGUGUAGGGGUAAAAUCCGUAGAGAUGUGAAGGAACACCGGGGGCGAAGGCGCCUUCCUGGACGACUACUGACGCUGAGGCGCGAAAGCGUGGGGAGCAAACAGGAUUAGAUACCCUGGUAGUCCACGCCGUAAACGAUGAACACUAGUUAUUGGGGGUAUUGACUCCCUCAGUGACGCAGCUAACGCAUUAAGUGUUCCGCCUGGGGAGUACGGUCGCAAGACUAAAACUCAAACAAAUUGACGGGGGCCCGCACAAGCGGUGGAUUAUGUGGUUUAAUUCGAAGCAACGCGCAGAACCUUACCUAGGCUUGAACUCCUCAGAAUCCGGUGUAAUUGCUGGAGUGUCCGCAAGGAAAUGUAGUGAGAGGUGCUGCAUGGCUGUCGUCAGCUCGUGUUGUGAAAUGUUGGGUUAAGUCUCGCAACGAGCGCAACCCCUAUCGUCUGUUGCCAGCAUUAAGUUGGGCACUCUGACGAGACUGCCUGGGUUAACCAGGAGGAAGGUGGGGAUGACGUCAAGUCCUCAUGGCCCUUAUGUCUAGGGCUACACACGUAAUA
rnacentral:rRNA from 1 species